rnacentral:rRNA from 1 species
GACGAACGCUGGCGGCGUGCUUAACACAUGCAAGUCGAACGGAGUUACGUAUGAAGUAUUUCGGUACGGACUAUGUAACUUAGUGGCGAACGGGUGAGUAACACGUGGGCAACCUGCCCUUAACCGGGGGAUAACAUUGUGAAAACAGUGCUAAUACCGCAUAACAGAGUAUCGGGCAUCCGAUAUUUUUAAAAGGAGCAAUCCGGUUUAGGAUGGGCCCGCGUCCAAUUAGCUAGUUGGUGAGGUAACGGCUCACCAAGGCUACGAUUGGUAGCCGAACUGAGAGGUUGAUCGGCCACAUUGGGACUGAGACACGGCCCAGACUCCUACGGGAGGCAGCAGUGGGGAAUAUUGGGCAAUGGGCGAAAGCCUGACCCAGCGACGCCGCGUGAAGGAUGAAGGUCUUCGGAUUGUAAACUUCUUUGAUCAGGGAAGAAAGAAAUGACGGUACCUGAAGAACAAAGCCACGGCUAACUACGUGCCAGGCAGCCGCGGUAAAUAGUCACGUCG